UUUGUACUAUUAAUUUGCUAAUGAGAUAUUGUAUUUCGAUCUCCCGUUUCGGCAUGCGCUUGUCUCUGUUCUUGUGUUUAAAAUUGUGACGUAGGAGUUGAGUGACGUGGACAGGAUGGAAGUGUUGUCCAUGCCGUCAGCUAGCGGUCCUUCAUUGUUUCUCGGGUGGUGACGACUGGUGGAGGUGUUGGGGCAAGGGUUGCAGUGCCCAGGUGUGGGGCAGGGAUUUAAUGUUGGUGAUCCUGGAGCUGUGUGGCACAUGGUCCAGUCUCAAAAUGUUAUGCCGGAGUACAACAUUGUGCUAGUAAUUGUGACCCUGAAGCUGUGAAAAGUGAUCUCAACUCCAGUUUCACCUGUGUGCUGAUAGGGGAGGCACUGCCAUCUCCCUGGUGUGUUACAUCGCCUCAGGUCACGUGUCAGUGUUCAGCUUGUCCAGUCUCCGCCAGCUCAUUUACAUUGAUUUCCUUCCUCUAGUCAACCUCAGAAGAGAGCAUCCCACAGAUGAAGGAGGGCAUUUCUGUCCCGGACGACCCUAGGAUAGUCACGGAUAGUCAGGAUAGUCGACUACUGGACCUGACUACUGACUCCAGGCUGCACAUCUUUAUGGCGGCACCAGAAUAGUCCAGCACACUCCGCUUAUCAAGACAACUACUGGCCUGAGAGCUAGGAUAGUACACCAUUUGUUACUGCUCUGUGUGGGAUAGUCAGGGAAAGAGGGAGAGGGUGUGACCAGAGUUGUUGCAGGGAUAAUAUCUCUCUUCACUAUUUGACUUCUUCUUCUUUUUCUUUUUCUUUUUCUUUUUCUUCCUUCUUCUUUUCCUUCUUCUUUUUCCUUCUUCUUUUUCCUUCUUCUUCUUCUUUUUCCUUCUUCUUUUUCCUUCUUCUUUUUCCUUCUUCUUCUUUUUCCUUCUUCUUUUUCCUUCUUCUUUUUCCUUCUUCUUCUUUUUCAUCCUUCUUCUUUUUCCUUAUUCUUUUUCCUUCUUCUUCUUCUUUUUCCUUCUUCUUCUUCUUCUUCUCCACCUAACCAAACUUCCACUACUACUACUACAAUUUUUCCACCUAACCAAACUUCCACUACUACUAACUACAAUUUUCCUCCUCCUCCUCUUCUGUCUUACCUAACCUAACUACUACUACAGCCCCAAAUAGUGGGUGUGUCUGGUGCGUGCUGAGAACAAGGCAGACUACUCAAGACUAUCCUGUGUGCCUGUGGCCUAUGUGUCGAGCCACGUCCAAUAGCCUUAUUAAUAUCCCUGAUAGUCUUUUCUGUGGCUGCUGCUGUUGCUUACGUGUGGGUCAAAGGUUAGUAGUACACUAUCCUAGGCUGUUCUGCGUGGAUAGUAUGACAUUUUGAACUAUUUUGGUAGAAGUUGGACUUUUGGCAGAAUAGUAUACCAUUUUGGACUAUUUUGCUAUGAUGGGAUGCUAUUUUGUGGUGUUUUGUUCAAGAUAGUACACUACUGUGGAGUCUUCCUUACAAAAAAUUUUGAAUGAGCUCCAAAUAGUGUACUAUCCAAUUAUCCAAGCUUUCAGACCCCCCAAAAAACACACCAAAAAACAGUUUUAACUAUCACCCAUAAAAUAGUUUACUAUCUGGCUAUCCAGAGACACAGCAGACUCAGAUAGUCAAGGAUUUCAGAGGAUGCCUUGAAAUGUAUAUAGUGGUAGUUAAAACCCCCCAAAAAACACAAUUUUGACUAUCAGCCCCAAAAUAGUACACCAUCUGACUAUCCAUAAAGUGAGAGACUAAAUCAUACAUCACAAAAAAUAUACAGAGUCAUAUUUGAAAAGCAAAAAAAAAAAAAAAAAACAUUGAUAGUCACCUUCAACACAAAACCACAAAGGAAACCCAGUUUAAACUAUCGGCCAAAAUAGUGUACUACUAUCCGACUAUCCCCAGGAACGGCGGAGCCCCAGAGGAGCCGACACAGACUAGUGUUGUUGAUCCUGCCAUGGGUGGUGCUGGUGGAGCCCCUUGUGGAGCUGCCCCUGGCUGUCACCAUCACCACCUCUCUGCUCUCUCUCUCUCUCUGGUGUUUUUAAGUGUGUGUAGGCCUACUGAGUGUUGGCCUCACUUCACUCAACCAAACCUGACCUGCCAUCACUUAUAGAAGAGACAUCUGGUGGGCCAUGUGAAGUGACCCCGCGUUGUCUGUCAGGAUCACCCCCACAGAGACAGCACUACCACCAGCAGGAGAGGACAUCCACCUCCUCCUCCAGCAGCUGGCCACAGCACAGGGCACAGAGCAAGCAGGUGGUGACGCAGAGGGUGGCCUGCCACACUCCCCCCAUGCCGCCGCCGCUGCAGUCUGCUGCAGCCAAGCUGCCGAAGCACAAGUCCGUGCACGCGUCCGGGACAUGAAGGUGAACAACAUUGAUUAACACCUCUUCCCUGCAUCAGCAACACUCAACACCACGUGCUUCACUUCAUACUCAUUCGUGCAAGCCUGCCUCUCUCUCUCUCUCUCUCUCUCUCUCUCUCUCUCUCUCUCUCUCUCUCUC